ensembl:lncRNA
AUGACCAGUGUAAAAAGUGGCGGGUUGCCAAGAAGAAAUAAAAUAUACUUAGAGCGGUUUCACUAUCCUCUAAGAGAUCUCCAGGCUGAUCUCACCCAAGUCUUAGUACCUCAGGGCUCUCCGACGGACACUGAGGGGACCCCGUCACGACUUCCCAAAGGAGACGGUCUCCUAAGACAGAUACCUUCCCUGGCCACUCGUGCAGCUCGCCGGGUCGCUGGGACCAACGCUCAGAACUCACACCGCCGCCAUGUUGUCGUUUCUAUAGAUACAAGACGCACGAGUCACGGCGUCUCCUGGUUUCCCAGGGCAACGACGGCUACCCGGAUGAGUCAUGGAUCAGAGAAAGCGAAGACCCCGCCCAACUUGAACGUUCACCCUUGUUUUUUAUUCUCCAACUUCCCGGCUGGCUGUAACUGUCUUCUACCAGUUGCAACACAGUUGUUGGGACGUCCCCGAUCACGAGCAAAUUCGGAGGAGGGUGGAAGGGAAUGUCUCCUAAGCAUUUUCUCCUGGCAUUUCCUCCAGCCCAGCGCAAAGCUAACGCUUUUGAAGGGAUCUGAAGGUGGAUGUUUGAAGAAGGCAUUAUUUCACAUAAUAUGGAUUUUUGGAAGCCCACUGGUUCAUUUGUUCGUUUGUCCUUUGCAGGGAAGAGUCUCAUUUGGUGAAGACUCCUUAGGUGGUUGAAGCUGAAAAUCUGAGAUCAUUUAUGGGCAAUUAAAGAUGCUUCACUACCCAGGACAGUGCUGGAGGCUGGGUGUUAGAGGGAGAGACUCUAGGGGUAAACCCAGAAAUAAACUCUUAUUUUGGGAAAGUUGGAGUUUAAAGGUAAAAGAUACACUAAGAUGACAAUGCUGCCUUAAUUGGCCUGGGAGAUCACAUGGCCAGAGGCUGAAAGGAAGGGUCAGGCCAGGAGCCCAUUACGUUAUGCCAGCACAAUUAGGUCUGGAGUUUUCUUGGGAUCAAGGAAUGUGGAACUCGGUGAGCUUUUCACUGGUUUUAACAUUAUUCUCAGAAUAGGAAACCUGCACUUUGGACAUUACCACUUCUAUGUUGUUUGUGGUUUCUAUAAUGAUUUCCUUUUUGUUUUCCUUUAAGCUCUUUUUGAAAUGGUCAGCCUGACUCAGCUGAACCUGAAGAACAGAGAAAGGGACCUGUUUGUCUAUUCUUAGGCCAGAAAAAAAUAAGGAGCAGUAACUCUGGAGGCAAGGCUCGGUGGUAGCCUCAGAAAUCCCAGCGAGAAAACCCUAAGGAGACUAGAGCUAGAAAAGCUUAUUCUAGGAGCCACACACCCUUGUGCCUCUUCACUGAAGAAGUGUCCCUCCAGAGCUGGUCUGUCCAGUCAGUGGUGGCUUCUGGGCUUGGGACAGUGAGAGGGAAUUCUUGGUUGGUCCCUUAUGGGCUCUACUUCUACAAGGUUCUGCCUGCCUCCUGGGAGCUCUGCUGAUGAGUGACCUUGACCGGCAUGGUGGACUCCCAGGGAAAGGCCCAAGCUGGACUUAGCUCCAAGAAGCAAACAGCAUGGAAAGGGGUGUGGCAAUGGAUGAAACUGAGAAGGGGAGAGGAAGCUGAGCUUGCCUCAGAAGUCCCUCAUUUCAGGAUCCCAGAACCUGUGGGGAACAAUGGGUGCUGGGUCCUGGGGACCAUCUCCUUCGUGGACUCAAGAAAGACGACAGGGUGGGCGCUGUUUUGUUCAAGGCUGUGAACAAGGGUAGGUGAUGAUUCAGUAUCUGGAUGAAGACCAGGAUGUGGAAGAAAAGGAGGAAGGAGGAUGGGAGGACUCCAAUCCUCCUGGCUAGAAGCCAAGGGUGAUAAAGAUAAAGCACAUUCGGUGAUUUGGGCUUCAGCACACACAAAAAUAGCUUUUCUAAGCUUUUUCCCCCAAUAUCCCUCCCGUGAAAUACAGAAGACUUCAGGCUGAGAAAUCAGACAGAUCUGAGAUAAAUUCAUCAGGCAGACUGACUGCCACUUACUGGCUGUGUGACCUUGGGCAGGUCCCAUGACCUCUCUGAGCCUUAUCUUUUACCCUGGGGAUAAUUAUCAAAAGGCCCACAUAGGGACUGAGUGGUCAGUUAUGUAAAGUAUUUGAUGCAUACUUUGUCAACAAAGAUAGACACACACACACACAUACACACACACACUGGAAGGUCACUUGCUAAGUGGGUGUGUGCUCAGUUGCUCAGUUGUGCCCAACUCUUUGCAACCCUAUGGACUGUAGCCCACCAGACUCCUCUGUCCAUGGAAUUCUCCAGGCAAGAAUACUGGAGUGGGUUGCCAUUUCCUCCUCCAGGGAUCUUCCCAACCCAGGGGUCAAACCUGCAUCUCCUGUGUUUCCUGCUUUGGCAGACAGGUUCUUUACCACUGAGCCACUAGGGCUUCCCCGCUAAGUGGAAGGUCCCUAUAUUUUGCUACUCAGCUUUCUGUGCAUCCUCACCUCCUCGCAUCUCCCAGUCUCUCUGCUGCACACAGGAGAGGUCAAAAGUGUUUUCUCCUCUCCACAUCCUCCUCUUUUGUUUCUCCAAGAAGGAGGCUGCCUGUGGCUCUAGGGUGGAGAAAGACAAAAAGACAUGCCAGGAUGAUCUACUAUCCAGUUGGCAAAGCACCCAGCUCCAGUACAUGAAGAGCC